rnacentral:pre_miRNA from 1 species
AUGUUAGGGCAUGAGCCAAAGCCCACUGAAGUAAAUGGGAAUCUUUCCACUAACUUCAGUGGGCUUUGCAGCAGGCCCUUAAUGU